rnacentral:lncRNA from 1 species
AUUUUGAGUUUAAUACCUGUCCCACUUGUAAUUUCCUGAUACUCAAGACAGUGUCUGUACUUCUUGCUGCUAAAGCCUCAAUGCUUAGCACAGUGCCAAGCACAGAAGUACUUUACAACUAUUUUAGAAAGAUGUAAGUAGAGGAUGACGUCUGGUAGAACUGGGAAGAGACAUGUGUAGGAGUAACUGGCUUUUGAAGGGUAUACAGGAGUUCAGUGGGGGAAAUGCACAUUUGAACAUUUAAAACAAAGGGAACAUUCCCAAAUAGCUAACCUGCCUGAUUUGUUCCUAACAAAUGGUUCUAUUGUUUACCUGAAAUGUGUAAUUAUUCUGAUAUUUUGGAGAGACGUUGACUAAAUAAGAUCAGCUGAGUUCUGGUACUG